UUUGAAUUGUAGUCUGGAGAGGCGUCCUCAGCGACGGACCGAGCCCAAGUCCCCUGGAAAGGGGCGCCUGGGAGGGUGAGAGCCCCGUCCGGCCCGGACCCUGUCGCAUCACGAGGCGCCGUCAACGAGUCGGGUUGUUUGGGAAUGCAGCCCAAAUCGGGCGGUAGACUCCGUCCAAGGCUAAAUACAGGCGAGAGACCGAUAGCGAACAAGUACCGCGAGGGAAAGAUGAAAAGGACUUUGAAAAGAGAGUCAAAGAGUGCUUGAAAUUGCCGGGAGGGAAGCGGAUGGGGGCCGGC
rnacentral:rRNA from 16 species